rnacentral:rRNA from 1 species
AGGAUAAACGCUGGCGGCGUGCCUAACACAUGCAAGUCGAACGUCUCUUUCUUCGGGAAGAGGAGUGGCGGACGGGUGAGGAACACGUGGGAACCUGCCCUUCAGUGAGGAAUACCGGCGAGAAAUCGCCGACAAGACCGCAUAGCCCUCUCUGGUGAGAGCCAGAGAAGGAAAGCCUCGCAAGAGGCGCUGGAGGAGGGGCCUGCGUCCGAUUAGCUAGUUGGUGGGGUAAGAGCCUACCAAGGCGUCGAUCGGUAGCUGGUCUGAGAGGACGAUCAGCCACACUGGGAUUGAGAACGGCCCAGACUCCUACGGGGGGCAGGCAGUGAGGAAUUUUCGGCAAUGGGGGAAACCCUGACCGAGCAACGCCGCGUGCAGGAAGACGGCCUUCGGGUUGUAAACUGCUUUUCUUUGGGACGAGCAAGGACGGUACCAGAGGAAUCAGCCCCGGCUCACUACGUGCCAGCAGCCGC